CUCAACUAAAUAUUUUGGAUAUUAUCAUAAAAUAUAAUGUUCAAAAAUAAAAUAAACAUAGGAACAUAUUUUAUGGUUACUUAAAUAAGUCAAAUAAUUUUAAUACUCAUAUGCAUGCAUAAUCAUAAAUUCAAUUCGAAUCAAAACAUAUAUAAUUCAAUAGCCUUUAAUUAUGAUCAAUAUACAACCCCCAUCAGCA
rnacentral:lncRNA from 1 species